UUUUCCUCACCAAACACAAACCUGUGUCCAGGGCUCCCGUACGUCUUUGCGGCGUUUUCGGUCGAGUGCUGUGACAGUUCGGCCGGCCAUGCACACGGGAGACAAUACGCCUUCGGGGGUACGUGCCUUUGUGCGGCCGACAGGUAUUUCAGAUCCACAGCGGGUCGUUUCGAACGGUUCCUUGGGGCUCUGCUCCAGGUUGAGCCGGGAGAGCGGCUUUGCGGCGCGUCACAUUCCUAAUUUCCGCCGAAUCCUCCAUUGGAGGCUGAAGACAGGAGAUACAACCGUGACAGCGUACAUAC
rnacentral:sRNA from 1 species